UUCAAGAUUACUUGCCAAUUAGAGAAAGAGCUGGUUUCUAACCUGGAUCCAAGGCUCCGUCAUUGAAAUUUCAUCAGAUGGAUCUUGUUAU